rnacentral:rRNA from 1 species
AACGCGAAGAACCUUACCUGGGUUUGACAUCCUCGGACCGCGCUGGAGACAGCGUUUCUGUAGCAAUACAGCCGGGAGACAGGUGCUGCAUGGCUGUCGUCAGCUCGUGUGGUGACAUGUUGGGUUAAGUCCCGCAACGAGCGCAACCCCUGUCCUUAGUUGCCAGCAUUCAGUUGGGCACUCUAAGGAGACUGCCGUGGUUAACACGGAGGAAGGUGGGGAUGACGUCAAGUCCUCAUGGCCUUUAUAUCCAGGGCGACACACGUGAUACAAUGGCCGGUACAGAGGGAAGCGAAAGGGUAACCUGGAGCCAAUCUCAAAAAGCCGGUCUCAGUUCGGAUUGGAGUCUGCAACUCGACUCCAUGAAGUUGGAAUCGCUAGUAAUCGCGGAUCAGCACGCCGCGGUGAAUACGUUCCCGGGCCUUGUACACACCGAUACUC